rnacentral:rRNA from 1 species
UACGUAGGGGGCAAGCGUUGUCCGGAUUUAUUGGGCGUAAAGAGCGUGUAGGCGGCCUGACAAGUCUGCUGUGAAAACUCGAGGCUCAACCUCGAGAUGUCGGCGGAAACUGUCUGGCUAGAGUCCGGAAGAGGAGAGUGGAAUUCCUGGUGUAGCGGUGAAAUGCGUAGAGAUCAGGCGGAACACCCGUGGCGAAGGCGGCCAGCUGGGCCGUCCCUGACGCUGAGGCGCGAAGGCGUGGGGAGCGAACGGG